GUGCAGUGAUGUAUUUGUCAACACAUCAUUCUGAAAAAAUGUGUGUGGUGACUUAUGUGACUGAGCACA
ensembl:snoRNA SNORD63 Small nucleolar RNA SNORD63